rnacentral:piRNA from 1 species
UNUAUUGUAAGUAGCCACGAUAUCAUUAUGCC